CCUUCACUCUCCACUAAUGGGAUUAAAGUAAUAUUCCGUGUUGGUCUUGCACUACUGGAGGGAAGGUCAAAGCAAACUCUUGAAGUUAGACAUGGAAGACAUGACCAAACACUUUCAAAAAGAAAUAAGUUUUUAUCGGAGGAAGGCUGUGAUGCUCUUUUUGAGGAUGAAAGCAUCUUUAAAAAACUGAAAAAGUAACAAGAAAA